rnacentral:lncRNA from 1 species
GAAAGGCCAUAAAUAAGUUGUGUAUUACAAACUGAAGGAAUGCUUGAAAUUGAGAAGUUUAAGCAACUUUAGUCAAAUGAAAUCCCAAGUUCUCUUGAUACCUAUGCUUGCAUUCUCUUUGCAAUUUAAGUGCUCUCCUCUGCUUCUCUUCAAGGGGGAAGGGGGAGUGGAAAGGAUAUAUUUAUUGACUUAUCCCCCAUUACCUUGACGUAUGAAGAUAUUGUACAUUUCUUGGCUAUGAUAACCCAUUCUCUUCAGAGGAAGAGGGGGAAUGAAGAGACUGAAUUAGGAGGAAUUCCCUUUUAUUUCUUCACUUGCUUCUGGUUCUACUUCACCUACUGAUUCUCCUACCCCUAUUGUACUGGUUCAUACUGAAUCGUCCAC